rnacentral:piRNA from 1 species
UACUUUUUUUUUUUUCCUCCUGCUACUU